GGAUGAUCAAAGUUGAAUAUCUCUACAACACUGGAGACACUACAGUCCUGUGACCACUUAAUACACAGUCCACGAUGAACUAUUUGCUGAAUUUAUUGUUGCUUGUUAUUUUAUUUCUGAUGGUUAUUUACACUAUGGCCCUGACAGAGCCGUGUCCACCAUACUGUCACUGUCCAGCGAAUACCAAGUGCUAUGUUGGCAACAACAUUUGUGGAUUUUAUUGCGUGUGAGGCUGUGACUUCUCAGUGCAUUGAAACGAGAAUCAAGAGGUCAAGUUGAAAGACUCAUUAACAUUGAACCCUGUACCACAUGGAUCUUACAGCUCAAUAAAAGUCAAACAUGAAAAAAGAUAA